UCCUCAAUAGCUCAGUUGGUAGAGCACUCGGCUGUUAACCGAGUUGUCGUAGGUUCAAGUCCUACUUGAGGAGCCA
rnacentral:tRNA from 2 species